rnacentral:SRP_RNA from 1 species
GCUGGGUGCGAUGGCACGUGCCUGUAGUCCCAGCUACUCGGGAGGCUAAGGUGGGAGGAUUGCUUGAGCCCAGGAGUUCUGGGCUGUAGUGUGCUACGCCAAUCGGGUUCCCGCACUAAGUUCGGCAUCAAUAUGGUGACCUCCCAGGAGCAGGGGACCACUAGGUUGCCUAAGGAGGGGUGAACCAGCCCAGGUCGGAAACGGAGCAGGUCAAAACUCCCGUGCUGAUCAGUAGUGGGAUCACACCUGUGAAUAGCCACUGCACUCCAGCCUGGGCAACAUAGCGAGACCCUGUCUCA